rnacentral:lncRNA from 1 species
AUAAGAGUUAUGGAAAGUUAUAUUCUUAUUAGAAUGAUGAAGAGUAUAUAUACACGUACAGAGGAGGUUAUCUAGGUUAAGUAUUUAUACAUAAGACCCUAUAGUUCUUGUUAUUUAUAUCUUGUCUAUACACCCCCUCAAGAUGGAGGGGCUGGAGUCACUCCAAUCUUGGUGCAGGCAGUGUUGAAGAGACUCCUCGAUAACGGUUUGGUUAGUGUAUCAGCUAGCUGAUCUCUAGAGGAAACAUGUGUGACACGAAGUUGGCCUGCUUGGAUCAUGUUGCGCGUAAAGUGAUAGUCAAGUGCGAUGUGCUUCAUACGAGAGUGGAAAACCGGGUUUGCACAGAGAUAGGUUGCGCCAACGUUGUCACAGUAAAUCACCGGAGCUUGAUGAAUAUCAAUUCGUAAUUCAGAGAGCAAGGAGCACAACCAUGUAACUUCAGCAGCGGUGUUUGCAACAGCUCUAUACUCAGCUUCAGUGGAUGAUCGCGCAAUGCCGUUCUGUUUCUUUGAAGACCAUGAGACAGGGUUCUUACCCAAGUAGAUGAUGUAGCCAUUUGUGGAGACAUAGUCAUCUGUAUCACCUGCCCAGUCCGCAUCCGAGAAAGCAUGAAGAGUAAGAGGUGAAUCUUGAUGAAGAAAAAUACCAUGAUUUGCAGUGCCGGCAAGAUAGCGCAGUACACGUUUAACAGCUUGCCAGUGUUCCAUUGUAGGUUGAUGCAUGAACUGUGAGAGGCGUGCCACAGCAUAGGCGAUGUCAGGUCUUGUGAAUGCAAGAUAUUGAAGACUUCCUACUACUGAACGAUACUGAGAUCCAUCUUGUAGUGGAGUUCCACCUCGAAGUGUAAGUUUUGGCUGAGAAGGAAGUGGUGUGGAGAUCGGCUUUGCAUCGGUCAUGUUGGUUUUGUGAAGAAGGUCACGUAUAUAUUUAUAUUGCAUCAAGUGAAUCCCUUUCUUUGUUCUAGUCACCUCUAUGCCGAGAAAGUAAUGGAGAUCAACUGGAUCUUUGAUAGAGAAUCUUUCUGCAAAGGAAGUUAGAACCUGUUGAACAAAGCGGUUGUUAUUGCCUGUGACAAUUAUGUCAUCGACGUAAACUAACACAUAUGUCAGUGUCUGAGGCGUGCAGUGAAUAAACAGAGACGCAUCAGCAUGUGAGUUGAUGAAGCCAUUGUUGAGGAGAUGUUGUUUGAGUGACAUAUACCAGGAGCGAGGAGCUUGUUUUAAACCAUAGAUUGGCUUCCGCAGGCGACACACAUGGUGAGGUUUGUCCUUAUCAACAAAGCCAGGAGGCUGCAUCAUGUAGACAAGUUCAGUAAGAUCUCCCUGGAGGAAGGCAUUGUUGACAUCCAGUUGCUUUAUCGGCCAUGAUUUGGUGACUGCAAUUUCCAAGACUAAGCGGAUGGUCGUAGACUUUAUUACCGGACUAAAUGUUUCUGAAUAAUCCACGCCAUACUGCUGAGUAUAUCCCUUAGCAACCAGACGUCCUUUAGGGCGUUCUUCACGACCACAGGGAAGAUAUUUAGUUGUGAACAACCAUCUACACCCAAUGACAUUUUGGCCUUGCUGUGGUGGUUCUAGAUCCCAUGUGUGGUUGACAAUGUGAGCAUCAAACUCAGAGGUAGCAGCGGCUCUCCAUUUUUCAUCUUUCAUUGCUUGUAUUAUUGUGGUUGGCUCCAUAUUAUUCUUUUGUUUUCCUGCAAUAGUAAGAGUUAGUUUCUGGAUCGGCUUGGAUAUUUUAUUUUUGGCUCGUGUUUGCAUUUUGUGGACAUUUUGUAGUGACUGAGUGUUUGGAUUUUGUGGUUCAGUGGGUUGUAUAGGUACGGUUGGUUGGGUAGUGGUUUGGUUUGGAACUGGUUGUGUCUGAGUCUGGGUCUGAGACUCAUUUUGUUGUGGAGCAGUGGGCUCUAUGAUCGUUGGGUUUGGCUGAGUCAUGGGGUUUGACUCAUUUUGAGAAUGAGCAGUAGGCUCAGAGGUUGAAGGAGAGAGUGAGUCAGGGGAAUGAGAAGACGAUACCUGAGGUGUUGGCGGUUGGUGAAGGACCGUGCUCGGGGUUCCCAUUGCUGGAAUAGGUAUGACUGUGAUCGGAGGGUUCAUGGAGGGUGUAGCCGCUGACGAUUUCGCAGUACUAGGCGUGGCCAUUGUAGCCUCUGUUCUGAAAGGAAACUCUGUUUCAACGAAUUGAACAUGCCUCGAGGUAUAAAGCCGAGUAGUUGCAGCAUCGAGACAAUAAUAUGCGCUUUGUGUUGGUGAGUAACCAAGGAACACACAACGUUUUGAUCUGUCUUGAAGCUUGUUUGUGUUGUAGGGUCGUAACCAGGGGAAACACAAGCAACCAAAGACUCUGAGCUUCCCAUAGUUCGGCUGUUGGCCAAAGAGUUUGAAAAAUGGUGACUGCAUGUCAACGGUGGGAGACGGCAGUCUGUUGAUCAGAUAAACGGCAGCCGAGAAAGCAUAAGUCCAAUAGGUCUUUGGCAUAGAUGCUGUCGAUAACAAGGUGAGGCCAGUCUCUACUAUAUGUCGAUGUUUUCGCUCGGAUAGUCCAUUGUGUUGAGGCGUGUGAGGAGGGGAGGUCAAGUGAGUGAUGCCGUGUUGUGCAAGAAAGCUUCUGAGAGCAAUAUACUCACCCCUAUUGUCUGAAAAGAGUGUUCCAAUAGGCAUGUUGAACUUCUUCUCAACAAGUGACUUGUAGGCAAUGAAAACCUCCUUGACUUGUGAUUUUUGGCGUAGAGGGUACAUCCAAGUAUACCUUGUAUAGUGAUCAACAAGAACAAGAUAGUAUUUGAAAUUAUCAACUGAGGUUAUGGGUGAAGACCAGACAUCAGUAAAGAUGUAUUCAAGAGGGCGAUGAGAAAUGAUAGAAGUGUUUGUAAAAGGUAAACGAUGGCUUUUAUUAAUCAUGCAUUCAGAACAAGAUAACUGUUUUUGAGAAGAAGAAAUAGGAAGAGAAAACUGAGAAACAAUAGAGUUUAAAAUGGAUAAAGAUGGGUGGCCAAGUCUAGAAUGCCACGACAGCAGAGAGGUUUUUGGGUUUGAUGCAGAAACCAUGGCCGUUGCUUGAUGAAGAGAUACCGGCCAUUCAUAGAGCUCAUUUCUAGUCUUGCCUUGGAGCAAUGGGACCCCCGUGCUGAGAUCCUUCACCUGAAAGGAAGCAGGAAAGAAUUCAACAGAAACUCCAUUAGUAUUGCAUAACCGAUAUACAGAAAUAAGGUUCUUAUCAAUGUUUGGCACACAUAAUAUAUUCUGUAAAGCAAGGUCACGAGUUGGAGUUGAGAGGGUUGAAAGACCAGUGUGUGAGAUAGGUAAGCUUGUACCAUCAGCAAUGAUCACAUCAUCUCCUCCUUGGUAAGGUUGGUGAAGCGACAAGUUGUUGAGAUCAGACGUGAUAUGAUGAGUGGCGCCAGAGUCAAGUAACCAGUUUGCAGCCGUGUAUGGCGAGUUCAUCACCAUAUUAGCACGAGGUUGCCACGGUCGAAAGGGACUGACGUUGGGGUUGGUGGGGUUGACAGUUUGCUGAUGUAGAGUCUGAAACUGAGGGCAUCGCCUUGCGCUAUGGCCUUGGGUUUGACAGAUCUGGCACUUGCCUAAGUAGGGCUUGAAGGGACGCGGGUUAGAGCUCGGCGUGUACUGGUUGCUCGCAGUGUUGUUGUAGGAAGAGGUAUUGUACCUCUUAUUGUUGUUGUUGUUGUUGUUCCGGUUACUGGUUUGAUGACGAUGUUGCACCGCAUUAGCUGAAGUCGGAACCACCAUUGUAGAGGAGUCGCGAGACGCAAGCAACUUUGCCUCAUGAUUGAGAAGUCUUUCGUGAACUUCUGUAAUACUCGGUGGAGUAUCUUUGCCUUCGAUCUGGUCUACAACUGUCUUGUACUCAUCCGGUAGCCCAUUGAGAAUAAUCUCUACUUGAUCCUCAUGAUCAUACGGUUUGCCUAGAAUCGCAAGCUGAUCUAGCUUGGACAUCACGCCUUGAAGGUAGUCAUCAAUUGUCUUAUCUCCUUUGAUGUUAAUCUUCAACUGAUCUUUGAGCUGUUUGAUAUGACCACGGCUCGGUUUAGCAUACGUUGCCGCUAGCUUCUCCCAGAUCUGAGAUGCCAUGGUGGUGCGAGAGACGAUAGGCUGGAUGGAGGGAGAGAUCGCACCCAGGAGAGCGCUAUAGAUCAACUUGUCUUGCCUUGUCCAGCGGACAAAAUCUGGAUUGGGAGUUACAUCAUCACCAUUGGUGAUUGUUGCAGUGGGGAUCUCUGGAACAGCAUCGAGAUGGCUUGCAAGAGCAUAUCCAUCUAAGAGGGCAUGGACUUGUAAGCUCCACAUAAGGUAGUUGGUGUUUGUGAGCUUGGACACAUUUGACAUGUUAACGUGAAGAAGCUGAUUGUUGUUGAGAGAGAUGAUCUCAGUUGUGUUUGUGGAUGAACUCAUGACGGCUUGGGUGUUUGGAGAGAGCGUAAAAAAUUAGGUUUCUAGGAGCGUAGCUCUGAUACCAUAUAAGAGUUAUGGAAAGUUAUAUUCUUAUUAGAAUGAUGAAGAGUAUAUAUACACGUACAGAGGAGGUUAUCUAGGUUAAGUAUUUAUACAUAAGACCCUAUAGUUCUUGUUAUUUAUAUCUUGUCUAUAA